UGGCGCACUCACACAGCAGCUGAAAGCCAAACAAGGACAGGAGCUCCCAUGGUUGUCUUUUUGGUGGAAUGCACAUUAGCCGUUUGAAUUCCUCAGGAGAGCAAAAAAAGCUAAUUCAAAACUGUGACUAAGCAAAACCACUGCUAAUUAUUCAAAAGAAAAAAUGUACUGCUGCCAUAACGACCACCAAAGGAGAUCGUUGUUGUACUGCCAAGUCAAAGGUCACAAAUUUGACUCGGAAAUUCCAUAAAAGUUAGCACAGUGGCUAUCUGUCUGGUAAACAAUGCAAUAAGGUUAACACUGUCGCAAGUUAGCUGGAAAACAAAGCUAAUGGUUAGAAGCAUGGUGGCCAUAGCCUUCUAGUAAACAAAUACAAAAAGGCUAGCAAAAGAAUUGUGGUGGUAGUUAAGAGCAAAGUUCACAUUCCUGGCAGCCGAAGGGAUACGGGGGAGGGGGACCGCAAAGCCAGUAACAUCACGCCAUGGCGUCAUGAAAUCCAACCAGCCUCGGGGAACAACAAUAAAGAGACAUAUCUGUGGAACAACCAUGACUGCUUCACGGAGUCUUUUUCUAUGGUCACCAGAUCUGAAACAGACCCCGAUAGCACAGCCAUUUCUAUGGCCUGAAUGACUGAGCUUGAAAAAACAACUGACUAUAGAAGGACAUCAUCCAAGGUGAACUACAAACUUUCUCAGAAGGGGCCACGCACACCCAAGAUGGUAGAAAAAAAAAGAGAAAAACAGAGGAAACAAGAGCACAUGGGCCCCCCCCAUCAAUCCAGACAUUCUACAACUCCUGCCCUUGUCUCUUGUCCCACCUCCAUCACCCUUCCCUUCCUCCACCCAUAAUGGCCCACCACCCCCACGAAAUACCAACCAACACUCCAACCCCAACCUCUGCAUCCCCCACCCAGUGUGAGGGUGCGCGUCUGUGUGUGGCCAUCUGGGGUACGGUAGGAUGAUGAACACUAAAACUAACCAUCAGCUGGGAAGAAAAUAGGAGAGGCAGAGACAUGCUAGAGCACACGCACACACUGACCCGGCGACCCCCCAACCCCACCCCCCGAGUAAGACAUUACUGGAAAACAGAGCUUUUUACUGGCAAUGUGACUUGUGUGUGUGUGUGUGUGUGUGUGUCUCCCCCUUUCAGCAGCAGCCAUCUUGUAAGACCUAUAGUGAGUCAGUUCCAUGAAUAUAUAUAAUAAAAAACACAUCAUAGAAUCUAAAAGGACAUUGCUUUUGUUGAUUAUUUCAGUGACCAUUACAGGAACCAAGUUUCGUUCGCACGUGAUCCUGCUAGGUUGGCGUUUGCUCCGUUGUUCAUACGCAUUUAUCAUUUUUAUUGGUGGCCCUCUCUUCCCUCAGCUAGGGGCUCUGUAGUCAGAGAAACAUGUGGAGCUGGUGUGAGGGGCCUUGCUCUCAGGUCGGUGUGGUACAGAUUAACCAGACAUCGGUGGGUCUGUGCGUGUGUGUGUGUGUGUGCGCGCACGCAUGCCAGAGUCUCCAGGGAAGUAGUGAAGAGCCACUGAGCUCGUCUUUGAACUCCAGUCCAUAUGGCCCCUUGGUAAGGCCCCGGUUUCUACAGGCUUACA